GCCCGGGUGGCGGAAUAGGUAGACGCAAGGGACUUAAAAUCCCUCGGUGUAAUACACCGUGCCGGUUCAAUUCCGGCCCCGGGCACCA
rnacentral:tRNA from 1 species